AUUGAACGCUGGCGGCAGGCUUAACACAUGCAAGUCGAACGAGUGGCGGACGGGUGAGUAAUGUAUGGGAAUCUGGCUGAUGGAGGGGGAUAACUGUUGGAAAGGACAGCUAAUACCGCAUAUUAUUGGAGCAGCCGAUGUCUGAUUAGCUGGUUGGCGGGGUAAAGGCCCACCAAGGCGACGAUCAGUAGCGGGUCUGAGAGGAUGAUCAGCCACACUGGAACUGAGACACGGCCCAGACUCCUACGGGAGGCAGCAGUGGGGAAUUUUGGACAAUGGGCGCAAGCCUGAUGCAGCCAUGCCGCGUGUAUGAAGAAGGCCUUCGGGUUGUAAAGGACUUUUAGCAGGGAAGCGUUACCUGAAGAAUAAGCACCGGCUAACUACGUGCCAGCAGCCGCGGUAAUAC
rnacentral:rRNA from 1 species